rfam:Macaca mulatta chromosome 15, whole genome shotgun sequence.
CGCCUCUGCAGCUCCGGCUCCCCCUGGCCUCUCGGGAACUACAAGUCCCAGGGGGCCUGGCGGCGGGCGGCGGGCGGAAGAG